CCUACGGGAGGCAGCAGUGGGGAAUAUUGCACAAUGGGGGAAACCCUGAUGCAGCGACGCCGCGUGAGGGAAGAAGUAAUUCGGUAUGUAAAGCUCUAUCAGCAGGGAAGAAAAUGACGGUACCUGAGUAAGAAGCCCCGGCUAACUACGUGCCAGCAGCCGCGGUAAUACGUAGGGGGCAAGCGUUAUCCGGAUUUACUGGGUGUAAAGGGAGCGUAGACGGCAGUGCAAGUCUGGAGUGAAAGGCGGGGGCUCAACCCCCGGACUGCUCUGGAAACUGUACGGCUGGAGUGCAGGAGAGGCAAGUGGAAUUCCUAGUGUAGCGGUGAAAUGCGUAGAUAUUAGGAGGAACACCAGUGGCGAAGGCGGCUUACUGGACUGUAACUGACGUUGAGGCUCGAAAGCGUGGGGAGCAAACAGGAUUAGAUACCCCUGUAGUC
rnacentral:rRNA from 1 species